UACGGAGGGUGCGAGCGUUGUCCGGAAUCACUGGGCGUAAAGGGCGCGUAGGCGGCAUGCCAAGCGUGUGGUGAAAGCCCGGGGCUCAACCCCGGGUCGGCCGUGCGGACUGGCGUGCUCGAGCACUGUAGGGGCGGGUGGAAUUCCGGGUGUAGCGGUGGAAUGCGUAGAGAUCCGGAGGAACACCAGUGGCGAAGGCGACGUCCUGGGCUUGACCUGACGCUGAGACGCGACAGCACGGGGAGCGAACGGG
rnacentral:rRNA from 1 species